GCGUUGGUGGUUCAGUGGUAGAAUUCUCGCCUGCCACGCGGGAGACCGGGGUUCGAUUCCCCGCCAACGCU
rnacentral:tRNA from 1 species